GAUUCUUGGUCAUUUAGAGGAAGUAAAAGUCGUAACAAGGUUUCCGUAGGUGAACCUGCGGAAGGAUCAUUAAAAAUAUGAACCGGACCGGUUCGCUGCUUGCAGCGGGCUGCGAAGGGAGAUAUUAUACACCCUGUACUUUGUUUACCUUUGUUGCUUUGGCGGGCCGUCCGUUUAGGCGUUGGCUCCGGCCGAUCGUGCCCGCCAGAGGACCCAAACUCUUUUAUUAGUGAUGUCUGAGUACUAUAUAAUAGUUAAAACUUUCAACAACGGAUCUCUUGGUUCUGGCAUCGAUGAAGAACGCAGCGAAAUGCGAUAAGUAAUGUGAAUUGCAGAAUUCAGUGAAUCAUCGAAUCUUUGAACGCACAUUGCGCCCGCUGGUAUUCCGGCGGGCAUGCCUGUCCGAGCGUCAUUAUGACCAAUCAAGCUCUGCUUGGCCUUGGGGCCUGCUAUACCGGCGGUCCUUAAAAUCAGUGGCGGUGCCGUCUGGCUCUAAGCGUAGUAAUUCUCCUCGCUAUAGAGCUCCAGACGUCCACCCGCCAGAACCCCCAACUUUCUCAAGGUUGACCUCGGAUCAGGUAGGGAUACCCGCUGAACUUAAGCAUAUCAAUAAGCGGAGGAA
rnacentral:rRNA from 1 species